UACGUAGGUGGCAAGCGUUGUCCGGAAUUAUUGGGCGUAAAGCGCGCGCAGGUGGUUUCUUAAGUCUGAUGUGAAAGCCCACGGCUCAACCGUGGAGGGUCAUUGGAAACUGGGGGAACUUGAGUGCAGGAGAGAAGAGUGGAAUUCCACGUGUAGCGGUGAAAUGCGUAGAGAUGUGGAGGAACACCAGUGGCGAAGGCGACUCUUUGGCCUGUAACUGACACUGAGGCGCGAAAGCGUGGGGAGCAAACAGG
rnacentral:rRNA from 1 species